UACGUAGGGCGCAAGCGUUGUCCGGAAUUAUUGGGCGUAAAGAGCUCGUAGGCGGCUUGUCACGUCGAUUGUGAAAGCCCGAGGCUUAACCUCGGGUCUGCAGUCGAUACGGGCUAGCUAGAGUGUGGCAGGGGAGAUCGGAAUUCCUGGUGUAGCGGUGAAAUGCGCAGAUAUCAGGAGGAACACCGGUGGCGAAGGCGGAUCUCUGGGCCAUUACUGACGCUGAGGAGCGAAAGCGUGGGGAGCGAACAGG
rnacentral:rRNA from 1 species